AGACACUGUCUCCACUCCUCGCCUCGGGAGCCCAGUGGAGCCCUCUUAUUCUUCUGGAGUCUAGCAUUGACCUUGCUGAUAGACUGAUUGAAUGGCAAGAGAAGCAUAUGAACACCUGCAGUGAAGUUUGCAGGACCCACAAUGUGUGCAGCGGCCGCAUUCCUGUUGCCAAGAUUUCUCACAAAGCCUAUUUUGAUGUUCUUUGAACCCUUUGUCUGGAGAAGCUGUAAAACUUCCAGAGAUGUAUAGACCGAGAAGUGAGACAAAGAAUUCUUUCGUAAGACAUGGGAUGUAUCAACCAUAAAUGAAAAGAUGGAUAAAUUGAACUACAUUAAAAUUAUGAACUAA